rfam:Oryza glumipatula chromosome 9, whole genome shotgun sequence.
UUUAAGUGCAGCAGUGGAUUUCUAUAUCCAACGUUUGACCGUCCGUCUUAUUUAAAAUUUUUUAUGAUAAAACAUGAAUAGUAUUUUAUACGUGACUUUUUAUUUAAUGUAUUUAUAAAAAUUUUUAAAUAAGAUGGACGAUCAAACGUUGGACACAAAAAUCCAGAACUGCACUUAAA